CCGUGGUUUCAAGCAGAAAGCAAACAUGGCAGGAGGCUUUUCAACAUGUGCAACCUUCUCAUGGCAUCCAUUAGGGAGGGCAGUGUUACUUUUUGCAAUUGCUAUAUCCCAUUCCCUCACCUGUUGCUGAUACCUCUCCCAUAGUGGUGGCUGUAGAUGACGGAUUAAAGGCAUUCCCUUCUUCUGCCUCUUCUGCUGCCAAUACUCAUGGAUAAUUUUGACUGCUUUCUUUGGGCCCAGUCCAGCCAUGAGAUCCUCUAUUUCAUCAGAUGUAAAUUGGUCACGUUGUUGAGAAUAUGCAGCCUUCUCAAACAUGUCCAUUGUCUUCUCAAACAUUUCCUCAGAGAUCUCCCAUAAGCUGCUGUUGGUAAGUUCAGAAGAAGUUUGAUUUUUCAACAUCCACUGCUCAUCAUCACUAUCCAUGUUGUAUAGCACCCUUGACUGAUCCAAAGCCAUCUCAAUAUCAGUUUCAACCUGCCGAAAGUACUUAGACGAACUUCGAACGAAUGGAACUUCAAUUACAUUGUCAUCAUUUUCCUCUACCAGGCGAACCCCAGGAAUAGGAACGUUUUUAAUUGAUGCAGCACGGACAUUCCGAUUGUAGCACUCUUCAUGCAUCUCUUUGAAACAAGCCCAUUGACUCCUAUCAGGAAACUCCAGUAUCCAAUCCUUUCCUCCUUUCCACAUCAUAGCAUGUGUAAACCGGUUUGUCGACCCAGGCUGCAGAAAUUGAUGUGCCUUGUACGAAUACUUUAUAAUCCCCAAAAUUUUUACUGCAAGCCUCCACUCAUUAUGAUCAAAAAGCUCUAAUACAACCUGUGCCCCGCAUUCCCUCCAACCUCUGUCACCAAGUGUAAUUAAGACAUUUGCUUCACAAGAAAACAACUCUAAGUUUCUUUCAGAACAUCUAGAAACAUCUGAUGGCCUCUUCUCAUUUACUGUCCUAAUUCGUUUAUGCGGAAGCACUUUCUGUGAAUGGCUUUUAUUCUUUGAGCUGUAGUCAAAACCUCCAA
rnacentral:misc_RNA from 1 species